CAAAGAUAGGCAGGACUAGCUGAUUAAGGUGUGCCUUCUGAUUUUCCAAUUUCCAUCAUCCAUGUCCAACCAAUAAAAACUGGGGAGACUGGAGUCUACUUUACCAACCGGCAAUUCUAGUGCUCUGUUAUCCCUUUUUAUCCCCUUUGAUUUUUUUUCUUUUGUUAUUCAUAAAACAAACAUAAACAUGUAAUUUAGGUUUCAACCCACAAAGCUAAUCAAAAUUCCUAAUAAUUCCCCUUGUUAAGCAUCUCCUGGUACUGAUUCAACGAUUCUUGCCUCUGCAGCCUCAUUUCUUCAUUGAACUUCUUUAUAAACGCCUCCACUCGGAGGUUCAACUCGUCCUGACUCAACGAUGGUUCUCUUUUCGGUUUCCCCGAUCCCUGACCAUUCUCAUGACUCAGCUUCGACUUGUUUUCACUAAAAGUCUCCGACUUCUUCAUCUUCUCCGGAAGCGGCAGAGGUAAGAUGGCGUCGUCUCGACGAACGUGAGUGUCCCACGUGUCGGUUUUCUUGAGGUGUCUGGUCAAUGGCAUUGGACGGCCAUCCGUUAGCAUCUUCCACGUGCUCUCCAUGGUAUCGUGCCGUUUCGGUUUCGAUACGCCUAAUAACACUGUUGCCUUCCCGGGUUCAGGACUUGCUUUCACUGAUUUCUUGGAACCAAACCUUGCAGAAACCUGUGGUUUCUUUUUCUCUUCUUUCUCAAACAAGAAGUCCAUUGGAUUACUCCUAUGUGGAGGCUGCACCGAUUUGUAAGACACCGCAGCCUCAUCACCAGCUUCCGUCACUGUUAUCUCUUUUUCUACAACCCUACCCUCCUCACUACUGUACACAGCAUUCACAGUGCGAUCAUCCACGGGCACAAGCUUGUCUACCACAUUCAAAUCUUGAUACCCAGAUCCGCCCACAAUAACGCCAUCAAUAUAGUCAGAUGAUACAUCGCCAGAGGCCUUCGCUGGCACCACCGUCGGCGUUGGCCAGGAAAAAAUCACCUGUUGUUUUGAGGGUUCCUCAGGUUUUUGGAGCUGCAGCUUGGAGGAGGCGACGAUUGACAUGAUUAUGCCAUUGAUGACCAAAUAAAGAUAAGGAGGCCGAAGCCAAGAGAGAACAGAGCUAUACACGACAGGAAGUUCAGAGACUGCAAAAUCAGUUACCACCGGAACAGAUAGCUUUAAAAUCACCGCAACAGAUAAUACAGCGGUGGAAAUUAAAGCUAGUUUGAGAGAGAUGACUAAUUUUCCAAAACCUGAAGUAGGAAACACCAUCAUAACUUUUUCAGGGAAAUUAAGAAAGCUUCAAGAUUGUUCAGGCGGUGGUUCUGAAUGCGGAGACAGAGACAGGGGGCUAAAAGAGAGCGUGUGAGGGCGAGCUGCAUGUGUAGAGGUAAUGAGAACAAGAGUUGGUAUAUAUCUAUAGGAUGA
rnacentral:misc_RNA from 1 species